ACCCACAACACUAAACGAAGGCUAGUACGUAGUUGUAUGGUGUUCUUUGAGCAAAUACCUUCAGCAAUCAGCCCUCUAUACGUCAAAGAGAAGUGGCGAGCGUGUCAGUGCAGCCUGGCAGCUACAAGUUCCGCAAAAGAUGAAGAUCAGCGCUGGUCUUCUGCUAAUCUGGGUUGCUGUAGCCGUUUCAGGUACGCCGAGUAAACACCAUACUGUUCAUGGCAGAAACGUACAAGGCAAUCCUGCAAAUGAAGCCUGGCCUGAGCAGCAGAACAGCGGAGUAAUCGAACCACGAGAUGACCAGAGAGCGUCACGGCGUUCACCCAAUGAUGACAAUGGUAGCCAGGAUGGAAGGCGCAGUUUUGGAGUACCGCAGGCACUGCGGAAAGGCCGAGAGGUUCGACAUGGUUACGGAGCUAUCGGUAAUACUAACAAUGACGACGUCGUUGAAAGCAGGAGACGUGGCAACUUAGGCCAGCCAUCUCCAUUCGCAAAUGGAAGCAAUAACAAAGGCGAGGAACCUGCAUCUAACGUUGGACAGCCGGGCGCUUUCUCUGGGGACGGCGGUCACCUCGGAGAUCUAAGACGUGGCUAUCGAAGUGGCUAUCGCCCUCGUUCUCCAAGUGAUGAAGACAGUCGUAGCAGCGAAGAGGAUCUACCAGGAUAUGGAAGACGGUAUCAUUCACGGGUUAGAGGCCAUGAUGACCGUCGUAGCAGCAAAGAAAGUACAGAAUAUGGGCGGCAUUAUCGGCCACGGGUUAGAGGCCAUGAUGACAGUCGUAGCAGCAAAGAAAGUACAGAAUAUGGGAGGCAUUAUCGGCCACGGGUUAGAAGUGAUGAAGACAGUAGUAGUAGCGAGGAGUAUAGACGUACGUGGAGAGAACGUCGCCAGUAUCCCAGUCACAGUGGCGAUGAUGCAAGCGUAGAUGAGGUGCGUCAAUUUGGGCAGCGCCGUAGAGCUGCUUUAACUGGAUUCGGCGGCCGUGGCUAACAGGGACAACCGUUUAUCCGGACAAGGCCACAUGACGACUUUAGGACUGGCUGGCUCAAUCAACUGCGACCUGAAGAAUUCAAAUUUUCUGGCAUAGCAGCGUUUCGUUGGUGCGCAAGAUCAGCUUCGUGGCUACCACGUUUGUCUCCUUAUUACGGGGCCAUUGGCAACUCUGAAAUGAACAAGCCACAUCAGCGAAUUGGUGUACGAUAAAAUACCGGACCUGAUAUGUGCCUGGUUCAAUAAAGUUGCAAUUGUGUAGAAACAAUAUGAUUUGGGAAAUAAA